CCUACGGGCGGCAGCAGUGGGGAAUAUUGGGCAAUGGGCGCAAGCCUGACCCAGCAACGCCGCGUGAAGGAAGAAGGCUUUCGGGUUGUAAACUUCUUUUGUCAGGGACGAAGCAAGUGACGGUACCUGACGAAUAAGCCACGGCUAACUACGUGACAGGCGCCGCGGUAAGUCGUAGGUAGCCAGCGUUAUCCGGAUUUACUGGGUGUAAAGGGCGUGUAGGCGGGACUGCAAGUCAGAUGUGAAAACCACGGGCUCAAACUGUGGCCUGCAUUUGAAACUGUAGUUCUUGAGUACUGGAGAGGCAGACGGAAGUCCUAGUGUAGCGGUGAAAUGCGUAGAUAUUAGGAGGAACACCAGUGGCGAAGGCGGUCUGCUGGACAGCAACUGACGCUGAGGCGCGAAAGCGUGGGGAGCAAACAGGAGUAGAUACCCCAGUAGUC
rnacentral:rRNA from 1 species